GGCGCGGGCCCCCUGGCAGGGGGCGGGCCCUCAGGACCCCAGGCUUUGCCCCCCGAGGAGCACCUGUCGCCCGACCCCGGGCUCCCAAGGGGAUGGAGCUUUACAGACCCCCCCCCCAACAGCGUCCAGCAAGGAACUGAAUGAAGAUCCUCAUUUGCUCGAGCCUUGGAUUGACAAACAGGGUUCGAAUCCAGGUGUGUCCCUCUCGGAGCCUGUACUUUUAACAAACCACACACCGAACAUAAAAGUAUAGCAUAGAGGGCAGAAUGAGAUGGACACAUUUGAACAGUUCAGCUUUCAUAUUCUUCUUGUAUGUUGGUAUGUAAUGCAGUUCAGACGAAGGGAAUGAUGACUGUAUACCCACAUGCUGGAAAAGAGAAGGUUUAUAUCGAAUACGAAUGUGCUUAUUUCGUUCUGCACAUUUUUCCUGGGAAAAAUAAGAGAAACAACAAUCUUCCGUAAUAAGCCAAAUAUACUCCCUUUUUAUUGCAUAUAUGGAUGGCAGAAUUUUGGGUUAUAUUGUUUUAUGUCAGAAUUCUGUUUUAAUAUUUAAAAAUUAAAUAAAACUUUCUUAGCUUUUUAAA